rnacentral:rRNA from 1 species
UACAGAGGGGGCAAGCGUUAUUCGGAAUUAUUGGGCGUAAAGGGCGCGUAGGCGGCCAUUCAAGUGACGGGUGAAAGCCCUCGGCUUAACCGAGGAACUGCCUGUCAGACUGGAUGGCUUGAGACCGGGAGAGGUGAGUGGAAUUCCCAGUGUAGCGGUGAAAUGCGUAGAUAUCUGGAGGAACACCGGUGGCGAAGGCGGCAUCCUGGGCCGGUAUUGACGCUGAGGAGCGAAAGCCAGGGGAGCAAACGGG